rnacentral:lncRNA from 1 species
CAAAAUUGUCUUCCUUGGCACCUGGCUUUUUGAAUGCUUCAGAGGGCCUCUGAAGUGUCCAGGAAAGAGAGGCCAUCAGACUCCAAACAGUUAUGCAACUGGAGCCUCCUGAGGAUGACCCCUUCUGCCUGGGACCCUUAGAUCAGCCUCUAGAGAAGCUUUGACUGCUGUUUCCCCAAAACAGCACCCCCUGCCAUCAGGAAGCAAGACUGGCUACCUGUCUUCCUGGCUUCCUUUGUAGUGAGGGGUAGCCAUGUGGCUGAAUUCUGGCCAAAGCCUUUCAGGCCCAUUUCUCCUCCCUCCUCCCUGCCAGCUGGAUGCAGAGGACUCCAAGAUUCAUGGGAGGAUGGAGACCUAUUUUGAUAGAGCUUGGGUCCCUGAAUGAUUAUGGGCUUUUGGCCUGAGUGAGAAGUGAACAUAUAUUAUAUUAAGCCUUUGAUUUUUGUGAUUUAUUUUCAAUAGCAUCUAGCAUUAACUUAAUGAAUAAACAUCCUCAAUUUCUGUUGAAUUUAAAAUUUGAAAAAUAGGCAAUAUAGUCACAUUGUUCAAAAAUCAAAACAAUAUAAAAGCCACACAUUGACACUCUCACUUCCACUCUAUUCUGUCCACCGUGCUCCAUGCUCUCGUUUCCCAGCCCUAUGGUGAACUACUUUAACAGUUUCUUGGAUCUCUUUCCAAUGUUUGUUUAUGUAUAUAAUACAAAAAGUACAUGUCAAUGAUGUAUAUGAAUAUGUUCUUUUCUUCCCUUCAUAGCUCAAAGGUAGCAUACUAUUCAGACUGUUUUGUAUUUUGCUUCUUUUGCAUGACAAAAUCUCCUGAUGACCUUUCCAUUGUGGUGUAUAAAAGACUUCUCACUCUUUCAUAGUUGCAUAGUAUUUCAUUGGGUAAAGCAUAGAUUAUUUACUAGUCAUCUAUUGAUGGACAUUUGUCAACCCAUCUCCUUGAAAGUAG